GCUCCAUUGGCGUAUAUUAAAGUUGUUGCGGUUAAAAAGCUCGUAGUUGGAUCUGUGUAUCGGACGGUCGGUUCGCCGCCCGCGGUGUUUAACUGACCGGUCCGGACGUCCUGCCGGUGGGACCCGGUUCACGCCGGGGCCCGUAACUCCCUCCGUGCUGCUCUUAACCGAGUGGUUCGGUGGGCCGGCACGUUUACUUUGAACAAAUUUGAGUGCUCAAAGCAGGCCUUAUGUUGCCUGAAAACUGUGUGCAUGGAAUAAUGGAAUAGGACCUUGGUUCUAUUUUGUUGGCUUUUCUGAACUCGAGGUAAUGAUUAAUAGGGACAGACGGGGGCAUUCGUAUUACGACGUUAGAGGUGAAAUUCUUGGAUCGUCGUAAGACGAACCGAUGCGAAAGCGUUUGCCAAGAAUGUUUUCGCUAAUCAAGAACGAAAGUUAGAGGUUCGAAGGCGAUCAGAUACCGCCCUAGUUCUAACCAUAAACGAUGCCAGCCAGCGAUGCGCCGAAGUUCUUCCGAUGACUCGGCGCGCAGCUUCCGGGAAACCAAAGCUUUUGGGUUCCGGGGGAAGUA
rnacentral:rRNA from 1 species